AAAUAAAAAAAAGUUCAUCUCCUUCUCCUUGAUUACAAUUCGUGCCCUAGUCUAUCAAAACUCCUUUUUGCGAAGUAUCAGAGCCUUCGUUCAUCCUCCACCACGGCGUGUUGACGACAUCAAGCUUCCUCACCACUGUGACUUCAAGACUGGUGGCACUGUAUACUCCUGUAAGAGAGGAUGGAGUUGAGGGCCAACUUGUUUCUGUAUCGACAGAGUCAAUUGCAUGUGAGCCUGGUAUUCUUAUG